rnacentral:rRNA from 1 species
AGCGAACGCUGGCGGCAGGCUUAACACAUGCAAGUCGAGCGCCUGUAGCAAUACAGGAGCGGCAGACGGGAGAGUAACACGUGGGAACGUACCCUUUGGUUCGGAACAACCCAGGGAAACUUGGACUAAUACCGGAUAAGCCCUAACGGGGAAAGAUUUAUCGCCAAAGGAUCGGCCCGCGUCUGAUUAGCUAGUUGGUGAGGUAACGGCUCACCAAGGCGACGAUCAGUAGCUGGUCNGAGAGGAU